GUGUUUAGUGAGAAGGACACAGCAGCGCUUGAGACACUCCUUGUCUUCUUGAUGUUUAUGGUCCAGUAAGGAACACAUCGAACAGAGGACAGAGGACAUGGAUUGCUGGGCUGUCCCAUCAAAACUGGAGAACACCCUGCUUCUUCUCUCACCUGGUGGCAGCACCUCAAGGAUCGACCAUGGCUCUUGGCUGGACUUUUCAAGCCAGGGUUUCUCAUAAGGAAUUGGACACCGAGUCCUGGGAGACAAGGAGGAAGACUCAGUGACAUCGUCAGUUGGAACAAGCCUAGGCUUCAUUUGUCAAUGUGCCAGCACUGAGGCCCCGGCUCUGGCAACAGCCCUGCCACCAAAUUUCACUUUAUUGAUAUGGCCCUCGGGAAAAUCUCUGUACCUAUGGUCUCUGGUGCCUGCCCCUGCCCACGCUGCUUCUAUGCAGAUGUUUUCGGGCUCUCACUCCUCCUGGGCCUCCAAGCACUUUGUGAAAUGUCCUUAAUGAAUUCUUACUCGAUUGCUUGUCAAUAUCACCUCCUUUCUACUGAUGAGGAAGCAGGACCCAGAGGGGGAGUUGACUUCUUCUGGGUUACACAUCUGUUUUCCCAGCUGAUGUCAGUGGAGU